AGAAAGCAAAUCUUGGUAUUGACUUAUUGAAAAUCUCUUUGAGAUUGCUUAGACAAAUCUUUUUGUGUGAGGCCGCUGUUCCCCACCUUUCUUACCUUGUUUUUGGGGCUUAAAAUUCUGUGACUCAUAAGCCCUCCGUAUCUAAAGAUAGAUGGCUAAAGGGCGGGUUCCGCAGUUAACUAAGAAGGCGAUCGAUUGGCUUGGAGAGGAAAGGAAACCCGGGACUGAAAACUAAAAGGAUAGGAAUGAAUUGAAUAAAGAAAGAAUACAUAGAACCUUGAGCAUUUUCUCCUCUCGGCAAUGCAAUGGUUGAGAGUAAAAAAGGGG
rnacentral:lncRNA from 1 species